rnacentral:rRNA from 1 species
CCUACGGGUGGCAGCAGUGGGGAAUAUUGGGCAAUGGGCGCAAGCCUGACCCAGCAACGCCGCGUGAAGGAAGAAGGCCCUCGGGUUGUAAACUUCUUUUAUCAGGGACGAAACAAAUGACGGUACAUGAUGAAUAAGCCACGGCUAACUACGUGCCAGCCGCCGCGGUAAUACGGAGGUGGCAAGCGUUAUCCGGAUUUACUGGGUGUAAAGGGCGUGUCGGCGGGCGAGCAAGUCAGACGUGAAAUUCAAGGGCUCAACCCUGGAACUGCGUUUGAACCUGUUAUUCUUGAGUGAUGGAGAGGCAGGCGGAAUGCCGGGUGUAGCGGUGAAAUGCGUAGAUAUACGGAGGAACACCAGUGGCGAAGGCGGCCUGCUGGACAUUAACUGACGCUGAGGCGCGAAAGCGUGGGGAGCAAACAGGAUUAGAUACCCUUGUAGUC